UACGUAGGGACCAAGCGUUGUUCGGAUUUACUGGGCGUAAAGGGCGCGUAGCGGCGUGGUAAGUCACUUGUGAAAUCUCUGAGCUUAACUCAGAACGGCCAAGUGAAUACUGCUGUGCUAGAGUGCAGAAGGGGCAAUCGGAAUUCUUGGUGUAGCGGUGAAAUGCGUAGAUAUCAAGAGGAACACCUGAGGUGAAGACGGGUUGCUGGGCUGACACUGACGCUGAUGCGCGAAAGCCAGGGGAGCAAACGGG
rnacentral:rRNA from 1 species